rnacentral:rRNA from 1 species
UGCAGCGACGCCGCGUGAGGGAUGACGGCCUUCGGGUUGUAAACCUCUUUCAGCACAGACGAAGCGCAAGUGACGGUAUGUGCAGAAGAAGGACCGGCCAACUACGUGCCAGCAGCCGCGGUAAUACGUAGGGUCCGAGCGUUGUCCGGAAUUACUGGGCGUAAAGAGCUCGUAGGUGGUUUGUCGCGUUGUUCGUGAAAACUCACAGCUUAACUGUGGGCGUGCGGGCGAUACGGGCAGACUUGAGUACUGCAGGGGAGACUGGAAUUCCUGGUGUAGCGGUGGAAUGCGCAGAUAUCAGGAGGAACACCGGUGGCGAAGGCGGGUCUCUGGGCAGUAACUGACGCUGAGGAGCGAAAGCGUGGGGAGCGAACAGGAUUAGAUACCCUGGUAGUCCACGCCGUAAACGGUGGGUACUAGGUGUGGGUUUCCUUCCUUGGGAUCCGUGCCGUAGCUAACGCAUUAAGUACCCCGCCUGGGGAGUACGGCCGCAAGGCUAAAACUCAAAGAAAUUGACGGGGGCCCGCACAAGCGGCGGAGCAUGUGGAUUAAUUCGAUGCAACGCGAAGAACCUUACCUGGGUUUGACAUGCACAGGACGCCAGUAGAGAUAUUGGUUCCCUU